rnacentral:piRNA from 1 species
UCUACUUUGUUGAUAGGAGUGGUCAGUGUC